rnacentral:rRNA from 1 species
UACGAGGGGGGCGAGCGUUGUUCGGAAUUAUUGGGCGUAAAGGGUGCGUAGGCGGUUUGGUAAGUCUUGUGUGAAAUCCCCAGGCUCAACUUGGGAACUGCAUCCGAUACUGGAUGGCUUGAAUUCGGGAGAGGGAUGCAGAAUUCCAGGUGUAGCGGUGAAAUGCGUAGAUAUCUGGAGGAAUACCGGUGGCGAAGGCGGCAUCCUGGACCGACAUUGACGCUGAGGAGCGAAAGCUAGGGGAGCAAACGGG